rnacentral:misc_RNA from 1 species
ACCAAACGCGAUUAACUCCCUUUAUAUACAUGUUCUAGUUCGAGGUCAGUCACCUGUGCGCAUAAGAUAACGUCACUUUGGAUUUAUAACAUUAACAGCACGUUAACAUCAUGGCGACUAAACCUGUAGCAAAUAAGAAUCCAGAAAUUAAAUAUACUCAGAUUUUAAUCAACAACGAAUGGGUGAACUCAGCUUCCGGACGCACGUUCCCGACGAUAAAUCCGGCUACGGCAAAGAAAAUUAUCGACGUACAGGAAGGUGAUAAGGCUGAUGUGGACAAGGCUGUAGCAGCCGCUAAAGAGGCUUUCAAACUCGGGUCACCAUGGCGACGGAUGGACGCUAGCGACAGAGGCCGGCUCCUGAACAAGUAUGCGGACCUGUUAGAGAGAGACAUAGCUUACAUUGGGAGCUUGGAAACUCUAGACAACGGAAAACCGUUUAACAACUCCAUCGGUGACUUAACAUUUGCCAUAAAAGUUAUUAGAUACUACGCCGGAUGGUCGGACAAAAACCAAGGAAAAACCAUGCCUGUCGAUGGCGAUUUUUUCGCAUACACGAGACACGAACCAGUCGGCAUAUGCGGGCAGAUUAUUCCGUGGAAUUACCCAAUGUUGAUGUUCUCAUGGAAGCUCGCACCUGCAGUUGCCAUGGGUAACGUAGUAAUUAUCAAACCAGCAGAGCAAACGCCGCUAACUGCACUGUAUGCAGGAGCACUCGCAGUUGAGGCGGGGUUUCCUCCUGGCGUUGUCAAUAUUGUCCCUGGAUACGGACCGACGGCGGGGGCUGCAUUGACCGAUCACAAGGAUAUCAAUAAAGUUGCGUUCACCGGCUCGACAGAGGUCGGACAACUGAUCAUGCAGGCUGCCGGAGCUUCCAAUCUGAAGAGGACAACUUUAGAACUGGGAGGGAAAAGUCCUAAUGUCAUUUUUCCGGAUGUAGAUGUUGAUAAGGUUGUUGAAUUUGCUAAUGAAGCGGCGAUGACGAACAUGGGUCAGUGCUGUAUUGCGGGGUCAAGGACGUUCGUACAUGAAGAUAUUUAUGACGAGUUUGUAAAGAAGUCUGUGGAACGGGCGAAGAAAAGAACUGUGGGUGAUCCCUGGGAAAACCCAGAAAACGGACCACAGAUCGAUGAGGAACAAUUCAACAAGAUUCUUGGCCUUAUCAAGGCAGGACAGAAGGACGGUGCUAAAUUAGAGUGUGGCGGGGAUCGCCAUGGUGACACGGGAUAUUUCAUCCAACCAACGGUGUUCAGCGGUGUAGAAGAUAACAUGCGCAUCGCCAGAGAAGAGAUUUUUGGACCGGUCCAGAGUAUUUUCAAAUUCAAGACAAUUGAAGAAGUUCUCGAGCGGGCUAACGACACGACAUAUGGCCUGGCUGCAGCCGUGUUCACUAACGACAUCAACACAGCUAUGACCUAUACACAGGGCGUCAAAGCGGGAACCGUAUGGGUAAAUUGUUACGAGGUAGUGAAUGCCCAAGCACCGUUUGGCGGUUACAAGAUGUCUGGACUUGGCCGAGAACUUGGGGAAUACGGCCUUAGCCAGUAUACAGAGGUGAAAAAUGUUGUUAUCAAGGUUCCACAGAAAAACUCAUAAAACUAUAGAACAGGAGCAUGCAACUCGAAGUGGAACUUUCUAUUCCCUUUCCCUGACAGAACUUAUCAGAGUGUUUUUGAAAAAAAUAAAUAAAUGCAAAAUAUUUGCAUUCUAAUUUUACACGAAUUUUGUGGAGCUAGCAUUGCUAAUGAGUGUUAACACAAAUGCAAAUGAAAAGGUGUGCAUACAUUCUACAUGCACCCGUUGAAUUGAUAUAUUCAACACGAAAGUGUACCAGUGUAAAAUUUUUAUUUGAUUCUAUUGUCACUUUACACAUUCUGUUUGUAUUUCAUCUGUUUACUUUAUUAACCCUUACCCUGCUGAAUUACUAUAAUGGACUGGUCCAUCAUUCAGUUUGGGCUGUACUAUUUAUUAUUUGAAGGUGUGUUAACGGAAUCAUGAUCAGUCUGCACGGAUGUGAUCUUGGUCAGCACUGGUCGCACAUGCAGAAUCAGUUGCAGUUGUGUUCAGCAUGAUAAGGGUUAAGGACGUAUCAAAAGAAAAUCAUGGUAGCUGCUAAAUAACCGUAACAGGCACCACUGGUCAAUUCACAGUGGCCCAAGUCUUAGCUACAGACACUUUGGUCAGUCGUGCUAACUACCAUAGGCCAGGCGAGCGACCAAUAUUCCAUAGCAACCUGUGGUCACGCAAUAAUAAUACUAAUAGUCAAUAAGUAGUUUAUAUCAGUAUUCGAUAGUAAACAAGUAAAUGAAACGACUGCUAGA